rnacentral:rRNA from 1 species
AACGAACGCUGGCGGCAGGCCUAACACAUGCAAGUCGAGCGGACCCUUCGGGGUUAGCGGCGGACGGGUGAGUAACGCGUGGGAAUAUGCCCUUCUCUACGGAAUAGUCCUGGGAAACUGGGGGUAAUACCGUAUACGCCCUUUGGGGGAAAGAUUUAUCGGGAAAGGAUUAGCCCGCGUUGGAUUAGGUAGUUGGUGGGGUAAUGGCCUACCAAGCCGACGAUCCAUAGCUGGUUUGAGAGGAUGAUCAGCCACACUGGGACUGAGACACGGCCCAGACUCCUACGGGAAGCAGCAGUGGGGAAUCUUAGACAAUGGGGGCAACCCUGAUCUAGCCAUGCCGCGUGAGUGAUGAAGGCCUUAGGGUUGUAAAGCUCUUUCAGCUGGGAAGAUAAUGACGGUACCAGCAGAAGAAGCCCCGGCUAACUCCGUG